AAUGGUUGCAAACUUACAAAAUGGCGGAUAUUUUCUGAAAUCAUCGCGUGUUCGCUUGUUUUUUUAUCAGAUCUUUUCAGGUCUAGAUGCUAUGAACAUCAGACGCUAUUAUAACCCGAGAGCAUGAACAUGAAUCUUCAUUAGUUGAACAAACUACGCUAACACGUAUAUCAGAAAUAACCGUUAGAGACCACGAGUUUAACCGAAGGAAAGAAAGCGUACCAAAGUAUGGAACAUUAAGAAAAUUGAAUGAUAUAUCAAGAGGUGUUCGACCAGUUAAGUCACAUUACAGAGUUGACGAGUCCACUAAGACUAUAUUUUGAG
rnacentral:lncRNA from 1 species